rnacentral:rRNA from 1 species
AAGGCUUGACAUAUAGGGAAAAGUGGCAGAGAUGUCAUGUCCGCAAGGGCUCUAUACAGGUGGUGCAUGGUUGUCGUCAGCUCGUGUCGUGAGAUGUUGGGUUAAGUCCCGCAACGAGCGCAACCCUCGUUCUGUGUUGCCAGCAUUUAGUUGGGGACUCACAGGAGACUGCCGGGGUUAACUCGGAGGAAGGUGGGGAUGACGUCAAAUCAUCAUGCCCCUUAUGUCUUGGGCUGCACGCAUGCUACAAUGGCCGGUACAGAGGGCUGCAAUACCGUAAGGUGGAGCGAAUCCCAAAAAGCCGGUCUCAGUUCGGAUUGAGGUCUGCAACUCGACCUCAUGAAGUUGGAGUUGCUAGAAUCGAGAUCAGAU